rnacentral:rRNA from 1 species
UGGGGAAUCUUCCGCAAUGGACGAAAGUCUGACGGAGCAACGCCGCGUGUAUGAUGAAGGUCUUCGGAUUGUAAAGUACUGUCAUUGGGGAAGAACGGUUUUCUUGAAAAGAUUGAGAAGACAUGACGGUACCUAGGUAAUAGCACCGGCUAACUCCGUGCCAGCAGCCGCGGUAAUACGGAGGGUGCGAGCGUUACCCGGAUUUACUGGGUGUAAAGGGCGUGUAGGCGGUUUCUCAAGUCCGAUGCUAAAGACCGAAGCUCAACUUCGGGAGUGCGUUGGAUACUGUGAGGCUAGACGGUCGGAGAGGGUAGCGGAAUUUCCUGAGUAGCGGUGAAAUGCGCAGAUACAGGAAGGAACGCCAAUAGCGAAAGCAGCUACCUGGACGAUUUGUGACGCUGAGGCGCGAAAGCGUGGGGAGCAAACC